CAGGAUGGCGUCACUUCGCUGUGCCACUAGGCAAUGCCGGAAGUAAAGAGCGGUUCAGCUGAAUUCUGUUUAACAGCAGUCAUUAAAGGAAAUCAUGGCAACUGCCAGUAAUGAGGUACACCAUCCUGUAGAUCCUGGAAUCUCAAAGCUGCAGUUUGUUCCCUUCAGUAGUGCCUUGGAUGCAGGAUUCUGGCAUGAACUAACCCAGAAGAAACUCAAUGAGUACCGACUGGAUGAGACCCCAAAAGUUAUCAAAGGGUACUACUACAAUGGUGAUCCUUUGGGUUUGCCAGCUCGCUUGACAUUGGAGUUUAGUGCCUUUGAUAUGAAUGCUUCAAUACCAGCACGCUGCUGUCCUGCUGUCGGAACAUUGUAUAAUACCAACACUUUUGAGACUUUCAAGUCCUGUGAUAAGAAAUCACUUCUGGAAAAAGAAGCAAAUGAGAUAUGGGAAUCAAUAAAGUCUGGAGCUGCUCUUGAAAACCCUAUGCUCUUGAACAGGUUCCUGCUGCUGACAUUCGCAGAUUUAAAAAAGUAUCAUUUCUAUUAUUGGUUUUGCUACCCUGCUCUCUGCUUCCCUGAUGGAAUACAUAUAAUUCAGAAACCAGUGUGUCUUGGUGACAGAUUCCCAUUAAAUCAGAUUCAAGCACUUCAGAAAGCAUAUGACGAACUUUGCCAGAAAGAGGGUGUUACAGCCUUGCCUUAUUUUUUAAUCAAGUAUCAUGACAAUUCUGUUGUGAUAUCUGUACUGAAAAAGUGGGAUGAUUUCUUCCAAGACCAAGGGGGAAAGGUGACAGUUGGAGUUUAUGAUCCAUGUAAUUUAUCCCACUAUCCAGGAUGGCCACUGAGAAAUUUCCUGAUCCUGGCAGCCCACAAAUGGGGCAGCAUUCUCCAGUCAGUUGAAGUGCUGUGCUUCAGAGACAGGACCAUGCAAGGAGUGAGAGACAUAACACACAGCAUUAUCUUUGAAAUAAAACUUCCAGAGAGAGUCCUUGGCCCAGAUUGUCCAAAAGCUGUUGGGUGGGAGAAAAACCAAAAGGGAGGCAUGGGUCCGAGGAUGGUGAAUCUCAGCGAAUGCAUGGAUCCAAAGAGGUUAGCAGAAUCAUCAGUGGAUCUUAAUUUGAAAUUGAUGUGCUGGCGUUUGGUGCCUACUCUUGAUUUGGAAAAAAUUGUGUCUGCCAAGUGUCUACUGCUAGGAGCUGGUACGCUGGGUUGUAGUGUUGCAAGGACCUUGAUGGGUUGGGGAGUCAGGAAGAUUACAUUUGUGGACAAUGCAAAGAUCUCCUACUCCAACCCAGUACGGCAGCCCCUGUAUGAGUUUGAAGACUGUCUUAGCGGUGGGAAGCCUAAGGCACUUGCAGCAGCAGACAGGCUGCAGAAAAUCUUCCCAGGAGUGAGUUCAGAAGGCUAUAACAUGAGCAUCCCCAUGCCUGGCCACCCAGUGAAAUUUUCUGAAGUAACAAUGGCACAGGCUCGGAAGGAUGUGGCUAAACUUGAAGAGCUUAUUGAUGCUCAUGAUGUUGUUUUCCUACUAAUGGACACUAGGGAGAGUCGAUGGCUUCCUGCUGUCAUUGCAGCCAGCAAGAGGAAGCUGGUCAUCAAUGCUGCACUGGGAUUUGACACAUUUGUUGUUAUGAGACACGGACUAAAGAAACCAAAACAGCAAGAAUCUGGUGAUUCAUGUUUAAGCAACGCCUCUGGUGCUUCUGAUCUUUUGGGAUCAUCACUCUUUUCAAAUAUCCCUGGCUAUAAACUGGGUUGCUACUUCUGCAAUGAUGUUGUGGCACCAGGGGAUUCCACCAGGGAUCGGACAUUGGAUCAGCAGUGCACAGUCAGUCGACCUGGAUUAGCCAUGAUAGCGGGAGCUCUUGCAGUGGAAUUAAUGGUUUCUGUUUUACAGCAUCCAGAAGGUGGUUAUGCUGUGGCCAGCAGUAGUGAUGAUCGAAUGAAUGAGCCGCCUACUUCUCUUGGACUUGUUCCUCAUCAGAUCCGUGGAUUUUUAUCAAGAUUUGAUAAUGUUCUUCCAGUCAGCCUGGCAUUUGAUAAGUGCACAGCCUGUUCAACCAAAGUCCUUGACCAGUAUGAACAAGAAGGGUUUAAUUUCCUAGCUAAAGUUUUUAAUUCUUCGCAUUCCUUCUUAGAAGAUUUGACAGGUCUAACUUUAUUACACCAGGAGACACAGGCUGCUGAGGAGGGUCAUGCAUGAUUGUUUGAAAGACAGAAGCAAGUACCUGAAGGGAAGUGGCAAUUGGGAACUGUUUUUAGAUUCUGUUCAAGUUUUGCUCUUCAAAGAGUCAGAGUAUAGAGAUAUUUGUGGGGAAAAUGUUCUCAGCAUCUGAAGACCCAGAUUAUAAUCUUGUUUCAGGCUUUUUACUACGACAGAAAAUUUUUGCCAUGUUCUGACACACUGAUUAAAUAAGCAUUGAAUGUAUAUCAAAGACAUAGAAUUGUUUCCAAGGACAUUUCUUCAUCUUUAUGUUGUAAGAAUAAUUAUAAUGAAUUUGAUUUUUAUUACUGCCAGAACAACAAGUCAUACAGAAUUGUCAACAUACAGAAGGUAAAAAAUAUGGUGAGGUAAGUCCAGGCUUCCACUGGAGAGAGAAAUUCUGUUCCUACUUGCCUAGUGUUAACUACAGAGCUUUCUCUCAUCGUGUCCCUCCCUCCCCCCAUUUUUGCUUCCUCCCCCCACUCCUAUAGCCAUAAGCACUUUGUCAUGUUGACACUGGCAAUCGAACUGUCUUGCUUUGAGUAUGAAAUAACUACUUUUAUUGUUUCUAAUAUGCAGCCUAGGGCCAAAACAACCAAAGCAAUUUUAAAGGACUAGGUUCAGAAGGGGGCUGGAAUUCCCAUUGUACAGCCCUUGGGAAUAUGACUUCAGUAACCAGCUCUGAAGCAGUUAUUUAUCCUAAUGACAACUGUUGGUCUGUCCAUACUUAGUCAGCUGAGUUCCACACUGUUGGUAACUAGCUCGUUGUCAUCAAUUCUUAAAAAACAGUGCUGUCAGGAGACAAGGAGACACCUAUAUUGUUUGAUCUGGUUCUUAAACUUCAAAAAUAAUUUUAUUCCAUAUUUCUUAAAGAAUUUGGGUUGGAUCAUUGUUUGAAAGCUUCCAAAGAAAAACCUAAUUCUUCAGGCAAAAGUAAAAUUAGUACUGAAGCCUACUUUCUAUCAGGGAGUAUCUUUGUGUAGCACUGAUAGAAUUUCAUGUCCAGGGUUUUCUCUUUUAACAACUCCCAUAUGGCAGUGUCCCUACAGAUGAUAUCUGCUUUGUCGAGUGUUUUACCUACGUUUUUUCUUAAAUAAUUUUUUUAUUCUAGCUCCACUUUGUCCUUUAUAUUGUCACUAACUGUAAGUUUUUUGCUUGUAUCUUGUGACCUAACUUUCAGCUUGUCUUUAUUAUUUUACUUUAUAUCUAUCUUGUUUUGAACUCUCAUCGCCAGUGCUGUCAGCUUUCUGACACCUUUCUUUUACUGCAGAAUGCUUCCAGUCUGUAGUGAUAUUAGAACCCCAGUUAAUACCUUUUCAAUCACAGUUCUAUGAAACACUUCCAAUAAAUCUUCUGUAACUCAUUUUUCAUAAAGCUGUCACCAAUAAUCAUAAAACCUAAAUAUGUUUAUUCUUCAAUCUCAUUGCUGCUUGAUUUAAUCAGGUUAGGUGCUGUCCUUUAAUCUAAUUUGCCUUUUUGAAUGGAUUAUAAAUCAAGGUGGCACCACAAUUUUCUCAAAGUAACAAAGACUACGUUUAUUUAUGUAAGCAUGUCAUACUGUAUAAGUCAAGGAGUAUAACUAUAUCACCUCUGCUACACUCUCCUGCUCAUCUAAUGUUCAAGUCCAGUUCAGAAGCAUACAGUAAUGAAAUAAUUAUCCCAUUCACCAUUGUCUUUUAAUAAACCUUGACUGACUGCAUAGUUUUCCAUAAGUUUUAAUGGUACUUCUAAUCUUUGUGCAUGAACUUUUAUAAUUGGAAUAACGUGGAACUUGUUCUGCCUUUUGAAUCAUUUGUUGUUUUUGACUUUUUUUCUUCUUGUUAGCAGCAAAUAUGUGAUGUGCCUGCCCAGCUUUGUACUGGGUCUCCAUAUGAAUUUCAUUCUUCCUUCAUGUGGGAGAAGUACUAGUUUAGAGAUAAAUCCCUUUUUGAUUGGCUGCUGUAAAUAAAGCAAACAGCAAUUGUUUCUAAACUAAUAUCACUGAUGUUAUCAUUGCCCAGAUUAGAACUUGACUGCAGCUUGGAGAGACAUCAAUGGAGAUACAUCAUUCCUUUUAUUGAACCUGAUGCUUUUACUUGUGAAAACCAAAUCCUACUCAGUUAUUUAAUGGGACAUGAAGCCUAGAUCUAGUUUUCUGUUCUGAAGGGUUGGACUUUAAAAUAAGCUUAGACCAUUUAUUUUAUUCAUUUUUAUUUACUAAUAAUUUGUUAAAAUAAAUAUAAAUAACUUAAGCUGCCACCUGUUAUUGUGUCCUCACCUGCAAGGCUGAAGAUGCUCCAGAGUGCAAAAUUAAGCUGAAGAGUAUGUAUUUCCAUGCCCUAGAUGAGACAGAGAUCCAAACACAAUCUGGGACAUGAGUGAUGAUGAAACAGUCUGAAAAUCAGCUGAAUAAGGUGGAGGAUGACCUACUUUGGACUGCAGUGCUGUCUUUUAUCUGUUAUUUGACAAGUUAAUGAUUGCUUACCCAUUCUGACUGCUACAAAUACAGACAAAUAUAAUCCACAUUUUUACAUUAAUAUCUUCACCUUAAAAGCAGUCUGUUAUUGAUAUAACACCACAUUUUUAUUUUUAUUAUGUAAAUAACUAAAGCAAUGUGGUUAUGUGUAAGCGUGGUAGUCUUUUUUUUUUUUUUUUUAGUUUCUAAAUAUGGCUUAUGGAUAAAAUAUGCUGCUUAAGUAAACUUUGGUGUUUCAUUUGUC